CGCACAGUGCGCAGGCGCGAGUUGUGACGAGGGAUUAAGCCAAGGCGCCAUAUUUCGAGGGAUUUUAUUGUUUUUCUUUUCUCGUCUUGAGAAAUAAUCUGUAGCUUUAUUUGGUGAAUUUAUAUCAACCCAGGAGUGCUAAUUCGUUCGUUAAAUCGCCAGACGGUCACUGCAAGUUCUCAACGUUAUCAGCGUAACUUCUCGUUAAAUAUGUCUGGUGUAAUUCGAGGCCCUGCAGGGAACAACGACUGUCGGAUUUACGUGGGUAAUUUACCCCCUGAUAUUCGCACCAAGGACGUGGAGGAUGUGUUUUACAAAUACGGAGCCAUUCGGGAUAUCGACCUGAAAAACAGAAGAGGAGGUCCGCCGUUUGCAUUCGUGGAGUUCGAGGAUCCGAGAGAUGCAGAGGAUGCUGUAUAUGGACGAGAUGGCUAUGACUAUGAUGGCUAUCGUCUUCGAGUGGAGUUCCCAAGAAGUGGCAGGGGAGGUGGAAGAGGUGGAGGUGGUGGUGUUGGAGCUCCCAGAGGCAGAUAUGGCCCCCCAUCCAGACGCUCUGAAUACAGGGUCAUAGUGUCAGGACUUCCUCCUAGUGGCAGCUGGCAGGACCUUAAGGAUCACAUGCGUGAAGCAGGUGAUGUAUGUUAUGCUGACGUUUUCCGAGAUGGCACCGGCGUUGUGGAGUUUGUGCGCAAAGAAGACAUGACCUACGCCGUUCGAAAGCUGGAUAACACUAAGUUCCGGUCACAUGAGGGGGAGACGGCGUACAUCCGUGUAAAAGUGGAUGGCCCGCGCAGCCCCAGUUAUGGGCGCUCGCACUCUCGCAGCAGGAGUCGCAGCCGGAGCAACAGCCGCAGUCGCAGCUACUCUCCACGCCGCAGCCGAGGAUCUCCACGUUACUCGCCCCGCCACAGCCGCUCCCGUUCCCGCACCUAAACAUCCACAUCACAGCUAGUUGGCUGGCCACACUCAUACACCCUGUGUCGCCCUCUGUUAGACCCACUGUUAUACUUCAUUGCUCUCUUGACUUGUUUUGUCUCUCCACUUUACCCAGUUUGCAUUAUCUCAUCUUUGGUUUGUCACAGAAUAUCCAAACAUUACAUUUUUAUUUGGUUGUCAUUUCGCUAAUGGCAGUCAAGUGUAAUUAAGUGGAUGUUUUCCGUUCUCUCUCUUCCUUCCCUGUCAGUCCUUUUUUUGUUCUCUUCUAUCCCAUGACCCUAUUUUGUGUGUUUGUCUUGCAUUCACAUUUUAACUGGAUCUUUAUACUCAUCCCUUGUAUACUAUAUUUGAGACAAUAAGGGGACAUGUUGAAAUGCUUUAAGUAUUUGUAUGUUUAAUUUGCUACUGUUUUAUUGUUAAUAAUGCUUCAAUUUUGGCUUUUUUUGGGGUGGAAAGUUUUUUAUUUUGUUGGACAACUGUUCUACUUUUACCUUUUCAUGUCUUUCUAUAGACAACAGAAGAGCAGGAUUAAAGAAAGCAUUGGAAUAAAGGAUUUUGAAGCACAAUUCAUUCAAAUUAGGAUAAAGCGUUUUUGGAGGAGGAGGAGCAGGCAUUUCAUUUAAGGAAGCAAUGGUUUGGAUUGGAGGAGGGGCUCACUGUGUCCCGAUCCUUGGAGCCGAAUCAUUGGAUCAGUUCAGGAUCAGGAGCAGGAUUAGGAUUAGGAUAAGGAUGGAUACAUACAUGGAGCGGGAUCAAUUAACCGGGAGCGGGAACCAUAGGAGAGGAUCCCAACCCCAGCCCCACAUCCCCCCACCAAACCACAAUUAAAGGAGUUAAACGCAGAAAAGGAUACUUGACGUCUUAAUUGGCUUCUUUAAAACCAAAUUAUUUUUUUCGUGAAUCGCCAAUGAUGCGCGCAGAAAGGAUCCAUGUGCUUCUUUUGUUUUGUGAGAUGAGUUUUUUUGGUUUAAAAAGGAGCAGAGCAAGGAACCAGAAGUCUGGAUCAGUUGCUUUGGAUGGAAUCCACAUGAAGAGCGUGGUAAAUAGAGGGUAAUUAUAGUGGGAGGGUGGGCUAAUAGGGACAUUUUGAGGGGAUAUUGUAGUUUAUUUAGGGUUUCAAAAACACAAAUUACUUAUACAUUUGUUGGCAUUUCCUGUGUUGGCAGUGGUGUUUCUUUUCCCCACAAUUGGCUACUCUAUAUUCUUAGUUUGUAGUGUGUCCUUUUCUCUCUUAAACCCUUCUUUAAAUAAAGACUGAAUGUCCAUUUA